GACAGAGGGUGCAAACGUUGCUCGGAAUCACUGGGCGUAAAGGGCGUGUAGGCGGGAGAGAAAGUCGGGCGUGAAAUCCCUAGGCUCAACCUAGGAACUGCACUCGAAACUUCUUUUCUUGAGUGCCGGAGAGGAAAGCGGAAUACCUGGUGUAGAGGUGAAAUUCGUAGAUAUCAGGUGGAACACCAGUGGCGAAGGCGGCUUUCUGGACGGUAACUGACGCUGAGACGCGAAAGCGUGGGGAGCGAACAGG
rnacentral:rRNA from 1 species